AACGAACGCUGGCGGCAUGCCUAACACAUGCAAGUCGAACGAAGGCUUCGGCCUUAGUGGCGCACGGGUGCGUAACGCGUGGGAAUCUGCCCUUAGGUUCGGAAUAACAGCUGGAAACGGCUGCUAAUACCGGAUGAUAUCGCGAGAUCAAAGAUUUAUCGCCUGAGGAUGAGCCCGCGUUGGAUUAGGUAGUUGGUGGGGUAAAGGCCUACCAAGCCGACGAUCCAUAGCUGGUCUGAGAGGAUGAUCAGCCACACUGGGACUGAGACACGGCCCAGACUCCUACGGGAGGCAGCAGUGGGGAAUAUUGGACAAUGGGCGCAAGCCUGAUCCAGCAAUGCCGCGUGAGUGAUGAAGGCCCUAGGGUUGUAAAGCUCUUUUACCCGGGGAGAUAAUGACUGUACCGGGAGAAUAAGCCCCGGCUAACUCCGUGCCAGCAGCCGCCGUAA
rnacentral:rRNA from 1 species